CCCUCCCUCUUUCUUCAUGCCUAACACAUGCAAGUCGAACGAGACCUUCGGGUCUAGUGGCGCACGGGUGCGUAACGCGUGGGAACCUGCCCUUAGGUUCGGAAUAACUCCCCGAAAGGGGUGCUAAUACCGGAUAAUGUCUUCGGACCAAAGAUUUAUCGCCUUUGGAUGGGCCCGCGUUGGAUUCGCUAGUUGGUAGGGUAAAAGCCUACCAAGGCGACGAUCCAUAGCUGGUCUGAGAGGAUGAUCAGCCACACUGGGACUGAGACACGGCCCAGACUCCUACGGGAGGCAGCAGUGGGGAAUAUUGGACAAUGGGCGAAAGCCUGAUCCAGCAAUGCCGCGUGAGUGAUGAAGGCAUUAGGGUUGUAAAGCUCUUUUACCCGGGAUGAUAAUGACAGUACCGGGAGAAUAAGCUCCGGCUAACUACGUG
rnacentral:rRNA from 1 species